rnacentral:rRNA from 1 species
UCCUGGCUCAGAUUGAACGCUGGCGGCAGGCCUAACACAUGCAAGUCGAGCGGUAGAGAGAAGCUUGCUUCUCUUGAGAGCGGCGGACGGGUGAGUAAUACCUAGGAAUCUGCCUGAUAGUGGGGGAUAACGUUCGGAAACGGACGCUAAUACCGCAUACGUCCUACGGGAGAAAGCAGGGGACCUUCGGGCCUUGCGCUAUCAGAUGAGCCUAGGUCGGAUUAGCUAGUUGGUGAGGUAAUGGCUCACCAAGGCUACGAUCCGUAACUGGUCUGAGAGGAUGAUCAGUCACACUGGAACUGAGACACGGUCCAGACUCCUACGGGAGGCAGCAGUGGGGAAUAUUGGACAAUGGGCGAAAGCCUGAUCCAGCCAUGCCGCGUGUGUGAAGAAGGUCUUCGGAUUGUAAAGCACUUUAAGUUGGGAGGAAGGGCAUUAACCUAAUACGUUGGUGUCUUGACGUUACCGACAGAAUAAGCACCGGCUAACUCUGUG